rnacentral:rRNA from 1 species
AGAGUUUGAUCCUGGCUCAGGAUGAACGCUGGCGGCGUGCCUAACACAUGCAAGUCGAACGGGAGCUUCGGCUCCAGUGGCGGACGGGUGAGUAACGCGUGAGAAUCUACCUUCAGGAUGGGGACAACCGUUGGAAACGACGGCUAAUUCCCAAUGUGCCGAGAGGUGAAAGGUUUCGACCGCCUGAAGAGGAGCUCGCGUCCGAUUAGUUUGUUGGUGGGGUAAGAGCUCACCAAGGCAGCGAUCGGUAGCUGGUCUGAGAGGAUGAGCAGCCACACUGGGACUGAGACACGGCCCAGACUCCUACGGGAGGCAGCAGUGGGGAAUUUUCCGCAAUGGGCGAAAGCCUGACGGAGCAACGCCGCGUGUGGGAAGAAGGCUCUUGGGCUGUCAACCACUUUUCUCAGGGAAGAAGUUCUGACGGUACCUGAGGAAUCAGCCUCGGCUAACUCCGUGCCAGCAGCCGCGGUAAUACGGAGGAGGCAAGCGUUAUCCGGAAUUAUUGGGCGUAAAGCGUCCGCAGGGGGCUCAUCAAGUCUGCUGUUAAAGGUCGGAGCUUAACUCCGAUACAGCAGUGGAAACUGAUGGGCUAGAGGGCGACAGGGGUAGAGGGAAUUCCCAGUGUAGCGGUGAAAUGCGUAGAGAUUGGGAAGAACACCGGUGGCGAAAGCGCUCUACUGGGUCGCACCUG